GAAGCAGUUUUCGAAUUUGUCAAAUCCUUUGUAACACAAGAAAAGGACAUAAAAUUUUUGGAUCUAUCAAAUAGUCUAACAAGAGGAGAUCGCACUCAAAUCUUAUCUUCACAGUUUGAACGAUUCUGUCCUAAUAAAGACUUCAGUAAAAUCGAAAAUCUGGCUUUAAAAGGCAAUGACAAUUCAUUAGGAUACCCAGAAAUAUGUGCUCUGUUUUGUAGAUGUAAUCAUUUCCAAACAGUUGGACCAUCGGUAUUUUGUAAUCAACCUCUACGUUAUUUAAAGUCGUAUUUAGAAAAUAUGCACCAAUCUGAUGACAACAAAAAGUUUCUCAUGUUCGUGUAUAUGAGUCUUGAUCAUAUGGUGAUAAAUGUCAACAACCAAAACGACAUGUUAUCUGGUAUACUGGAGUCGUGCAACUGUACUUGUGACCCCACUAGUAAGGAGACGAAAGUCGAAACGGAACAAAAUGAGUUAUCUGGAAUUGAUUCAACAGGAGAAAGAGGUAAUAUUGAGCAGGGAUCAUUCUCUAGAAAUCUGCCUAAACUUAAAAAGCAUUAUAAAAGUAAAGAGUAUAUAACUUCCUUAAUACCAGAGGGGUUUGUGAUUGCUGACAGAUUACAACAUGACGUCAUAAAGAGAAUGACUCUUAUCGUGUAUGGAACCUAUCACUUUGAUAAACUGCUUGAAUUGUUCAAGCCUGAAGAAUUAAAGGCAUGGGUUAAAGAAAAAGGCAUGAUACCGGAUGUUGGACUGGACGACAUAAAACCUGUUUUAGAAAUCGACCGAGAACAAUGGAGACAAUUCCAAGCAAAGCUGAGUUAUUGAAAAAAAAAUCGUUAAUGAAUUCAAAAAUUUGGAUAUGAAUGUUAACACCGAAAUUGAUUUGCUCUUUAUUGGUGUCCUGUAGCUGUGAUCGAAUUGGAAUAAAUC
rnacentral:misc_RNA from 1 species